GUCUUCUCAUUGAGCUCUUUUAUGUCCACCAGUGGCAGUUUAUGGAUUCGCACAAGAAGAGAAUUCACAGAGGUAGCAUUCAUUUGCCUUCUUCAUAUUUUCUUCAUAUUUUGCUGUUUUGUGAGACAUGA